ACUUGAAAAUGUGGAAGUGGCUUUGAAUCAGAUAAUGGGCAGAGCUUGGAAGAGUCUGGAAGCCUCAGAAGAAGACAGGAAAAAAAGGGCCUCACUGCCUGAGAGCUUAUACAAUGUUUGAUCUACCAACAUGGUGCUCUGUAUCAUAUCACUUGAGACCUAAGGACCCACUUUAUGGUAAAGAAGGAAGACAGUGGGCACAUGACCACAGGACACAAUUGUCCUUUAACAUACCAUGCCACAUAGAAUAUCCUGCCCAAUAGAGUGAUGGAAUGGACUUUGAAGCUCAUCUCAGGUGCCAGCUUGAAGAUGAAACCCUUUGAGGAGAAGGCCCAGUACAUAUUAUAUACCAUAAGACAAAAACGUCCUAAUAAGAAGAUAAGGUGACCGAAUAAGGGGAUUACUUGGCAGAGAUAUGAGAGAACUGGGUUCUUGACCCCACUUUGCCAUGAACUUGGGCUUGUUGAAGAAAGUGGCCAUAUUGGUCAGCCUAUUGGGCAGGGAACUGCAGGUGGUACCCAGGAUCUGAGGAUGGCUUCCAGAUGACAGCAAGCAAAACCCAGGGCUCCCAGUCCUCUAACCACAACAGAAUGGAUUCUGCAAACAAUUCGAGUGAGUUUGGAAGCAGAUUCUUCCCCAGGGGAAAAUUCACCACUGAGCUCAAGCAUUGUAAGACAUCCUGUUCUAAGGAGGGAUGAGGACAAAUCCUCUACUGUUCCCAACAGUUGCACAGGGCACUGCAUCUACAGUUACCCUGAGAACUACAAGCAGGAGGUGAAAGAGCUGAGUCAGCCAAGGUCAUCUGGGGACCUAUCCACUGGCAGGCAGAGGAGCCUUUCCCUGUGGCCACCACUGCCUUCAGCCCAUAAGGGAGUUUUUCCAGGCUACCUCCGAUGAUCACUUAAAGCUCAACAGCUCUUCAUUCAGCUUGUGGUCAUGUGCAAUCCUAAUACACUGACUCUGAGUCCAGUUCAGCACUAAGAGUUACCAAGAAUUUCAGUCCUUGUGUCCUAGACUGCCUUUCAAGUUUACUUGGAACCCCAAAGCACUUCAGCCUGCUGUGGUGAGGCGUGCUGAGAAACUGAAGUUCAAGCUACUGGGCUGGGUGAUUCUUUUCUGGCUAGGUGAGGUCCAAAUGCUCCCUCUUGCAUGGGGGCUGGCUGAGCCCAGCACGGCUUUGCUCUCUGCUGUGACAGGGCAGCACUGAAUUCAAUGUAAAGUCCUCCAGUUCUGUGCUCUCCCUCCCCAAGUGCACAGACUCUCUCCCAACAGCAUGGCUGCUGCCAGGGGAAAUAUUAAGAAUGGUGUAGGAGAUUCAAGACUGUCUGUCUUACUUUCUUCAGUGACAUGAAGUUAAAACCAGGUAGUCUCCUUUAGUGACAUGAAGUUCAAACCAGCUGGUCUAAUUGCUCACCUGAUUUUUGAUUCUUAUGAUGGUUCUUUUCUAUGUGCAGAUAGUUGUUAAAAUUUGGUGUUAUUGUCAGGAUGAAGAGUGUAGACUUCUAUUCCACAAUCUUGCUCUACCCACUUCCUGCCCCCAGUUGAGAUUCUUGCAUUUUUGGGUUAUAGUUGUAUUAAAUUUGAAAAAAAUGUAGUUAUUAUUACAUCAAAUAAUUUUGCUAUCCUGUCUUCACCCUUCAUGGGCUACAAGUUGAAGUAUAUUAGGUUGCUUGACAUUUUCCCAGAGCUCACUUGUGCUCUGUUCAUUGAAAAUUGUUUCUAAAAAUUGGAACCACUUAAAAUUCUAUCCAAACAAUUCUGUAAUCAAAGAGAAGAUUAAAAAACAAAUGGAAGGAUGUCAAGAAAAUAAUAAUAACUCAGUAUGUAUCAGUCUAUGGUCAGUACAAAUUUACUAAGAAGAAAAUAGAAUAAAAAUAAUGAGUU
rnacentral:lncRNA from 1 species